UACAGAAGAAAGGUGGGGGGGAAGAGAUGCUUUGUCGGGAACAAUCAGAUAAAAGGGGGAGGGAGAAACCAGAAGCAUCUUGGCGAGAUGGUCUGGAAAAAAAGCAGGCUCUGAUGAGCUCUGCAAAAAUCCAGCAGGACAAACCACUGUCAGGGGGUCUUCAGACUGGAACCAUCCUGUAGGGAUGUUGAAGAAGGAGAGGUGCCUCAGACAACCAAGAAGAACAGGCAAGUUCCUCAAAAGUCAGAGGCGGCUCUUCAAACUGGUGGCAGUGGUGGCAGCCAUUAAAAAAUGACCUCUGUGAAGCUUGGGCAACCAGACUAAGUUUUUUGUGCAUGAGCGGUGUCUGAACGGAGUGCUGGUACAACGUGAGUGAUUGGCCAACUCACAGAUAAAAAAGAAUUUUUAAAAUAACUUUAAAAGGUGUCCUGGAGUGGAAAUGAGCGGCUAAUUGGCACUUGGGAAAGUUAAUGAGGGAGAAGAACAAAGAGGAGGUUAAAAUACCAAAGCCCAAGAAAGAAAAUUUCACAACUGGAUUUAAAAUUGGAUUUGGAGAAAUUAAAAAUAAUAAAAGAAAAAGAAACCCGAGGAAAAGUACUUUUUAUGUGGAUUAAAAAUAUUUUUGAUAGUUUUGACAUUUGAAGGAGAAAAACAAAGAAGAAGUUAAAAUACCAAUGCCCGAGAAAGAAAAUUUUAUAACUGGAUUUAAAAUUGAAUUUGGAGAAACAAAAUAUAAUAAAAGAAAAAGAAACCCAAGGAAAAGUACUUUUUAUGUGGAUUCAAAAUAUUUUUGACAGCUUUGAUUCUUAGUUGUUCUGAGAAUAUUGUGGAUUUUGAGGGAGUCAUUUGCUGGCAGAAAGAGAGAACUGCAAUCUUGGUUGGAAAAUAGAAGAGAAAAUAACAGCUGUGACCUUGACUAAUAAAAGAUAAUUCAGAAGCUGUGAGAACUUUUAAGGAGUAUUUGUUUUUCUGAACUGUUUGGUUUCGACUUUCAAUGAUUGUGGAAGAUAAUAAAGCUUUAACUUGAAGUGAAUUGAAUAAAUAAAUAAAAAACUAUAUGGACUUUAAAAUUUUAAUUAAAUAUAAAUCAAAAGUUUUAACAAUUUGUUAAAAUUGACAAUAUGGAGUCUUGGAUGUGUGAGGCAUUGAGAUGUUUAAAAACAUGUGUGAAUCACUAAAGGGUAAUAAAAAAGUCAGAAAUUUUGCUGGAACAUAUAGAACAGGAAAAAGAGACCAUAAAUGAGGAGCAAGACAAUAAUAUUGAAAGAAAAGGAAUUGAGUGCAAAAAGCAGUUAGAUGAUUUCACUGGGAUUAACAGUGGUAAAAAAGAUUGGAUUGGGAGGGGGAAUAUCCCCACAAAAAGAAUCAAUCAAAGGGAAAAGAAGGAAAGAGUGGAAAGAGGUUAGGAGAAAGCCUGGGGAGAAUUACUCAAGUAAUAUAUCUAAAAGUGAGAAAAAGGAUUCAGGAGAAAAGAUACAAUAAAUACAAAAAGAAAAAGAAGAAGUUAAAAGAAUGGGAUAAAAGGAGGAAAUUAUUAAGAAGUGGAAUUUUGAAGAGACCAAGAGAAAAUGGUUAAAGAGGGGAAGAAUAGUGAAAAGGAGGAAGUGCUUGCAGGAUGUGCAAAACUGGACUCCUUGGAUGGCAACUAUUUGAAGCAACUUCUUGUCAAGGAGCAGUUGGUGACAACCCAAAUGAUUUAAAGUAGCCCUUCUCAGCCUGAACAACCUCUGGAAUAUCCCAGACAAUUCUGGGCAGCUUCAGAGAGUAAAAGAAUAUGAUAGAAAACAAUACCAAAUAAAGCAUGGAACAUACCCAGCAUAUUGAGGGAAAUCAUAAAAAGACAACAUAGCUUCAUGGUAUCCAUUCCAUCUCUCUAAGGCUUUGGUCACAAGGAAGAAGGCAGGCACAGUGAGAGCUGUAUGAAUAACUGGGGGAUUUUCUGCUUCAGUGGGCAGUUGCUGCAACAGAACAGGUGACACUACUAAAUUAAUGUGACAUGGAACAGGCCAACACUAUUACAGUCAACAGAAUGGGCACACUAGGGAUAGAAAGUUCCUCAAGAAACCAAGUCUUAUAUCAUGAAUGGUUUUACAGUGAUAAAGAUGGAACACCCAGAUCAAUAGAUGGUCUAAUAAAGAUCUCAUGUAGAUAUUAAAUAGGAGGGAUGAGAGCCUCAGGUCUUGAGGCAUCCCACAAACAUUUUAGGCUUGAUGUCUCAUCUCCAGUGAUCCUGAUUGGAACCAGCUGUAGAGAAAGGAGGAUGCCUCUUAGAGAGGCAGACACCACCAUAAUGGAUGCAAUGACCUGUCACCUCCUGAGCAUCCUUCACCAGCCAGUAGAAGCAAGGAUCUAAUAAAUAGAAAGUUGGGUUGACAGUUCCAAGGAUCCUGUCCACUUCCUCAGGAAUCACAGAAUCACAUUCUUUUGAAAUAAACAGGACAGACAGAAUAACAAAAUAUCAGAUUUGGAAGGCACCUUGGAGUCUUUCAAUCUAACCUCCCAAACAAGCAGGAGAUCCUAUACCAUUCUGAACAAAUGGCUGUCUCUUCUUAAAAACCUUUCUAAUCCCAUUGCCAUGUUGGCUGGGGAAUUCUGGGAUUGAUUGGUUCCUUUGACCAUCUCUGGAUAAAGAGAGAAUGCAAGAUCGUCCAAGCUGUACUCCAUGUGGCUUAUUCACACCAGAAGAUUGCAAAGUGCAGAUAAUUGGAAGGUGGGAAGGAAAUUUGCCAUACUUUCUCCAGUACAGAACCUUUCAAGAAUACUUAAUUUGCACUUCCUGUGCUAAUCACUUUCAGAAGUUGCCUAGUCAUUACUUUAAAGUGUAAAGUCAUUACUGUCAUCUUCAAAAUGACAGGGCUGGAAACACUGGGUAUCAUACCAAGAGUGCGGAACCAAAGGCUGCAAAGAAUUUGGAAUUCACUCCAUGGCUGAUAAUCAGUGAUACCCCAACAGUUUUUAAGCUGUCAGUUAGGCAUUGCUACACUACCCUGACAUUAUGAUCUGAUGCUGAAUAUAUGUCUUUUGUAAAUUGGUAACCUGAACAUAGAAGAACACGAAGUCUCUAAAUGGACUGACCUCAGCUCUUUAAAUAGCUUUGGACUGCAAUGCUAGACCUACUAACUGCGGAGGAUGUCUCAAUGAAAUAAAGAGUGUGGACGUCUUAAGUCUGAGUUAACAUUAUAGGCAGUGCUAUUAAUUACGGACAUCAGACUCGCCAUCUCUUUACAAAUCUGUUGAAGUAUUUCUCUCCUUUACAAAUUGAUGGCAAAAGUAAUUCAGGAUGUUACUAAUGGCAAUUAGGUUCUACCCAGGAAACUAGAGAAGACAUGCUUUGGGACAAAUACCUGUGUUUAACUCAUGUAAUUCUGCUUCUCUAGACUACAUAAACAGAUCCUGUGUCCUGAUUUGACUCAUCAUGCUCUCCUAUUUUGUUGCAUGCUAAUCUUAGUUGUGUUAUAGAGGUAUUUCUGCAAAUAUCAACCUCAGUUAGUCAGAAAAAAGAAGUAUUUGCACUGAAUACCCAGGGAUCAAUUCAUGCAGCAAUAAGGAACCUACAUUUGCUACUAAGAAUGUUUUUAAUAGGGAUAAUAUGGGAUACAAUUUUUUCUGUCUGUUUGUUUCAUACAUAACUUCAGAUAUACUUGUAGUUUUGGAAGGUGCAUUAGCUGCAUGUCUUCCUUGAAUGCCAGGCGUGAGAUUGUGCUCCAGAAAAAUAAAUGAACUGGAGGUAAACUAAAUCUGACUUCAUUUAAUUUUAGUGGACCUAUCCUGAAGGCAGCAUCUAACAGCUCUUGAUCGUAAGAAGUAAGCAGGGUCAGAUGAGGUCCUUGGAAAUCCCAGGACUGUCCACUGGGAAGUCAAACAAUCACUUUCAUUUUUUUUGCCAAGAAAAUUGCUUACAUGGGCCCAUACUAUUGCCAGGAUUUGUGCUUGAAUUGAAAUUGAAUUUAUUAACAUUUGAAAUGAUUUAUCUAUAUAUAUAAAAGUGAAAACCACUCAUGCAUUAAUCAUGAAAUCUCCAGAACUGUAAAGCCUACAAACUUGAAAUUUGCCACGUAUGUUCCUCUUGGCUUCUAGGUGCUCACUAAGAAAUGAUUUUUCGAAAUGACCAUCAGAGCAUUAGUAUUUCCUAUAUUAUUAUAACACGCUCUGAUACUAAUUAGUUAGACAUUCUACUCCACUUCCCAAUUUGAAAAUAACUCUGGAGAGAAUGGGAUAGCAUAGGACUGUGGGGCAAGCUUCAUGGAGAGAAGGGGCUAGAAAGCCUGAGAGAGAGAAGGGGAUAGGAUAGGAGAAGUUUCUGUGGGGCAAGGCUGAGGGAGAGGAGAGGCCGAUCGUAACUACUCAUUAAUUUUCAAACUCUAAGUGUCAAUUUAUCAAGCCCGAUCACAGUUUCGUAGUGGAACAUGGGUAUUCAGCUAGUUCUGUAUAUAGGCUGCUUUCUGUUAAAUUACACUUUGAUGGUGAUUUUGGAAGAUAGUUUAGCAACUACAUCCAACCCUACUUCCCUCCCUAGGAUCUAUGUGGCCCCGGGAAUUAGGAAUUUUUAUUUUAUUUUAUUUAAGUAUACAUUUAAAAACACACAGGUGCCUAUAUGAUCUCACUGGGAAUUUUGAGCAAAUACACAGAAGAACAUUAGAAAACAAAAAAUACUCUUGGAAUUAGUUUUACCACUAUAAAUGAAAAGGAGUAUUCCAUGACAUCAUAUCCAAUGCUAAACCAUAAUCUAUCCCACUCUGGCUAAAUCUCUACUCAAUUUCCCCCAUUGGUUGGAAUGUAUGAAAGUCAUUUCUAAUUGAAUGAAUCAGUCCUUGGUUCUUAUUCUUAUUAUCUCAUCGUCUAGUUCUGCCUUCAUUUGCCACUCACUUUGCAAGCUCCAUUUCCUUGGGAAUUCAUCUAGCAUGACAUGGAUGAAUGAUUUCUAAGAAUUGUUUAUACAGUUGUCAUGUGGAAUCUGUUCUAGAUGUCGUCAGUGUUUUGCUCUCUAGGAAGAAUUAAAUAAAUAAAUGUGGGAAGAAGACCAACACAAUAAGAGACAGGUUUUUUUCCUUCCAAGUGCACAUGAUUUAGUGGUCCAAAGUUCACCGCUUAUAUAAACCUACAAACCGCCAUACCCUUUGUGCUCCCAAAGUUCUGAUGUUUGGAGGACCAGAUGUGGGAGAUUCUACAUAUCUCCAAUAUCUUUCCUCUCUUUUCAGAAGAUUGAAUAUUUUCCUUAAAUUCAAUCCCCCCCACUGAUGUAAUCUUGCUUUGCAAUGCAAGAAAGGAUAUAGGGCCUCCACACGUAUAGGUUGUUGAUAGACAUCUGUAAGAUGUGGGCAGAUAGAAUCCUGGCAAUGUAAUUUUGAUGGCUAAAAGCACAGCUGGAGUAUCUAUUGGCUUUCUUCUCUGUUAAUGAGCUUCAAUUAUUAACAUCCCUCAACACUGGCUAUGCUAACUGGAGCUGUUGCAGGGCCAGAAAUUUACCAUCUUUAACCUACACCUGCUUUCCAAUCUGCCACUCACCUUGAAUAUGAUGAGGUCAUUUGCCUGUUUUGUCCUGCAGAUUUAUGCUAAUGGAAAGUUCUUCUGUACCAUGUGUUUGGUGCAUUUAACUCCUUGAAGGUCCUUGAAGAAGGACCAUUAAUAACAGGACCCAGUUUAGCAAAGGAAAAAAGUCCCAAUAUGUCAUGUGAUGCUGCCAUGAUGAUGCGAGUUUGACACCCCUGGUCUAAGGUAUUGGUUUCCCCCAAUGAUACCACGGGCAACUGAUUUAACUGCCAACUGAUUUUCAUACCAACAUGAACAAUGAGCUAAUAUCCUCACUAUACCUGAAACCAGUUUAAAAUUGUGCAGGAUCAAAGACUAGUAGUCUUUCCCAGGAGAGGGGACUAGCUAUGGAGAUUCUGGAAAAAUAGUAGAUAGGGGGUUGUCAGUAUUGUUCCACAUGUUAUAUGGCAGGGGUGUCAAACUCAAUUUCAUUGAGGGCCGCAUCAGGGUUGUGUUUGACCUUGGGGGGCUGGGGUGGGCAUGGCGGGGGUGGGCGUGACCACUUCACCAUCACUCAUGUUGGGAGCACCUAUGGUGGUCUGAGCACUCUGCCAGCGAAAAUGGACUCCUGAGCUCUGUUUUCAGCUGCGAUGGCCUCCUGAAACCCUCUGCCAGUGAAAACAGAGCUUGGGAGGGGUGCCCGCUCCAUUUUCGCUGGCAGAGGCACCAUGGGCUAGUCCUUCACUGUUUCCAGGAUGGCCCUGCAAGCCAGAUGUAAGCACCCCAUGGGCCUUGAGUUUGACACCCCUGUUAUAAGGUAAUCUCUCAGCCUAAUGGAGAGGCAGCUGUGCACUGUGAAUUUAGUUAGAAUCAGAAACAAAGCACAUACUUUAUGGUUCACCAAACAAGUAACUUCAACCAAUUGUUUUCAUGUUUAUCUACUAGGCUUAUUUGUCUUAAAAUAUAAAUGCACAUUUUAGAGACAAAUUUUAGACACAAAAUGAGCAACUGCUAAUGGUACAACCUUUAUUAUCGUGUAAGAUAGCAAUAACUGUGUAAGAUAGACUUUAAGGGGUGCUUGAGACUGUAGGUAAAAUACAUCAAAGCUGCAUAGAAAUCUGCACAAUAUUACUUUGCUACCUGCACAAAUUCAUUAUCCUUGUAUCUGAAAAAUGAACGAAUUUCAGAGUACAGAAUUGAUAAUACAUCUUUUUUUAUCUGUUUUGUAUCAAAACAGAUUGGUCACCCUCAUUUUUGAAGACUUUUUUGUUUUUGCAAAUGCUAAUGGUAUGAAGAGAAAGACCAUCUCAAAAAAAUAUCCAUUUCCAUCAGGCAAGAUAAAUCAGAUUGACAAAUGAUAGUAACAUUUCCAAGAAUUACAAAGAAAUGCUGUUAAGGGUUCAAAUCCAAAUGUGCCACAUGCAUUCAUUCAAAUAUGCAGGGAGCUUUGUAUAAACAUCCAUCAAUUGCACUAAAACAGGGCUAAACAUUAUUUUAUCAUAAACUUUCAGGAACAUAGCCUAUUUUUUCUGUUUUAAUGAAAUCUCCGCUCCGAUACAAAAAUGCCCAUAAAGAGAAAAUAUGUGCCAGAGGCUUUAUAUGGAGGAUUUCCCUCCUUUCCACAAUCCGUUGACUCUCCUCAGAGAAGCUUCAGUCAAUGCUUCUCAGGAGGAGGAAUGAUCAGGAAUAUACUGGAAAGUCCCAGCAGAAAAAAUUCGAACUGCUAUAUUAUAAUGGGCCUCUGUGGCUCAGACUGGUAAGACAGUCUGUUAUUAACAGCAGCUGCUUGCAAUUACUGCAGGUUCAAGCCCCACCAGGCCCAAGGUUGACUCAGCCUUCCAUCCUUUAUAAGGUAGGUAAAAUGAGGACCCAGAUUGUUGGGGGCAAUAAGUUGACUUUGUAUAUAAUAUACAAAUGGAUGAAGACUAUUGCUUGACAUAGUGUAAGCCGCCCUGAGUCUUCGGAGAAGGGCGGGAUAUAAAUGCAAAAAAAAAUAAAAUUAAUCUAGGUCAGUGACGGCUAACCUUUUUGGCACUGAGUGCCGAAACUGGAGCACGUGUGCGCGCAUGUGCCAGAACCCAGAAGAGAGCAGCUGGCUGGUGCACAUGCGUGCAGCGCCAGCUGCUCUUCCGGGUUCCAUUAUGUGCAUUCAUGCGAAGAGCAGCUGGCCAGCAUGCUUGCGCACGCCAGAACCCGGAAGAGCAGCUGGGGACAGUGCGCAUACCCACAGAGAGGGAUCUGCAUGCCACCUCUGGCACUUGUGCCAUAGGUUUGCCAUCAUGAAUCUAGGUGGCCUGCUAGAUUAAUCUAAGUUUGAAGCAAACAGUUAAAAGUAGAAUGUGUGCUUCUCACUGUCUGCUCCAAGUAUCAGCUUCACUAAUUCAAGAAGGCAGUUCUGGAAGAGUCAAAACAUGAAAAUGUGUUAAUAACCCAAGCUUGGUGAUAUCUUAAGCUGAUAAAAGAGGGUGAGGGUUUGAGGUUUUUUUGCAAUGUACAAACCUUCUUAUCAAUCCUAACAGCACUGGGAUGUGUGCAGAUCAUGUCUUUCAAACUACCUCUUUAGGAAGAUUUACUAUCAUGGAAUAUUUUUAGCUGGACUGCCUAUCCAAAUGAAUAAACUGGGUUGAACAAAGAAGCUGUUAGAAAAAGGGAUAGAGAUUUAUUUGUUGGCACUGAUUUCAGCCACAUUGUUGUUGUUUUUUUUAUCUAUACUGCACAGGUAAUUUGAGUAGCUGUCUCUGGUUUCAUCCAGUGAGCUUUGACAAUUGUUUGUUUUGUGCCUGAAGUUUAAUUGUCAUCAACCUUGAAACAGGAAAGCAGAAGAGGCUCUCAGCACCGCUCCAAAGACACCUUAGUGUUAUAAGGUACAAGGGGCACUUUCAUGUUACUUAAUCGUAUGCUGACCCAAAGCAAAUCUUGUUAGUGCUGAUACAAAUACGGGCCAGAAGGACAGUGGCUAGAGCAAUGGGAUUUUAGAAUUUGCAUUGCUUUAAUACUGUAUUUGUUUACUAACAGAGUAGGUAUGCAUUAGGCCUUUAUCAUUCCUAUGUUAAUGAGCAGGCAGGAAUAAAAUCCUUGCAAACCUGUUUACUAAACCCAUUGCUAAUUAAAAAGAAUCAAUUCCCUGCAGCAAACCAUUUUGUUCCUCCAUACAAUAAAUAAGAAAGAGGAGGUAUCAUUUGUUGUGAGGCAGGGAAUGGUGAGGCGGUUAUAAAUUUUAUAUUUUGGACAAUGGGGGCUGUAAAAGCUAUAAGGAUUUCUAGAACGAUGGGCUUAAGAUAAGGAAGCCAUUCUGUUGCUUUCACAAAUCAAAGAUAAUACACAAUCAACUUCAAAAUGUCCACCUUUUAACUAAAAGCUAAAACUUCUGCAGGUAGAAUCUACUUAUGCACACACAUAGAUCACAGAUCGUAUCCAACAGCUAGCAAUGGAUGUUUCUAAAUGAAGUUUUUGCUACACCCAUUGCCUUGCUCUAGUCACAAAGUUUUAGAAAGAAUCAAGAUUUCAUCCUUUUCACCACCUGAAAUCUUCUGUGCUUUCCUUUUCUGUUCCUUUUUUUCCACAAAGCAAUCAGUCAACGAGAUAAAGGAAGGGCUUCUGCACUGCAUUACUUGUUGUGCAAUAUGACAAAAGCACACACUUUUUUGACCCAACGAAAGACGUCUUUGUUGAAGAAAGGAUUGCAUUUUACAAAACGCUGGAGAUAUUGGAUAUUUUUCAGACAGGUCAGCUCUGGAAAAUGGUACCGAGAUGCCCCACCAUGCAAUAAAUGUUAAUGCAUUGAAAUGCAUACUGCUUGCCUGAAAAGAUAAUUAGUGAAUAAUCUACUGAUCAUGUUAAAGAAGACGUCACAUGUUCCCCAUCCUUAAUUGGUGUUUUACUGGAAAAUAUUUAGAAAUGGUAGAAAUUUUCUCUGAAGAGAAAAAUACUUUUAAGUUACUGUCCAUAAUAAGAGGCAGUAGCCAAGUUCUGAUUCCUAAAUCCCAUUAAGCUAAGCUUCCUGAUUUAUCUGUUAAUUAAAUCAAACAUAUGAAAUGAAUUUUGAUGUAAUAUCCAGUGGUGUAAACAAUUUGAAUGCUUGUUGAAUGGGCUAUGGUAAGCAGGGUUUUGGUGAUAUUCCACUUUCUAUUUCUUUUUAUUUUAUUAUAUUUUGGGGCUGCUAUUUCCCAGUUGAGUUGGCACUGCUCCCAACCCAAACAUACUAGAAACGUAGCCCAACAUCAGCUGUCAUACCUAUGGGAAACAACAUUCAGGAUGGAAUGAUUUUAAUGAAAAUAGAAAAUAAGGACAAUUUUUGUUUUAGAAGCCUAAUUAGUAAUUUUUUUUCUUUUUGACUGCAAAAAGCCAUGAUGACAUUAUCAGUGCAGAUUAAGUUAAAUCCUGAAUCUUGCUAGUGUGCAUGCAUAUCAGAUUUAAGGAAGAAAAUAAUCUUUAUAAACUGUGAACUAUUCAAGACAGCAGCUUUUACUAAGAGGUGCUAUGAAACUUACAGGCUUAUUCAUGUAUCCAGCUGAUGUUAAUUAUAACUUUGCAAUAGAACAGGCUUCCAUACUGAAAAUACAUCAGCUUCUAUGCGAAGCAUUUGAAAAAGGCAAAGGAACUCUAUACAUGCAUUUCUGAUGAAGACACUCUGGAAAAAGAAACGAAGCACUGCACACGAUAGGUAACACCUUUGAAUCACAAACCUUUUCAAGGGCAAAAAUAACAGUGCUCUCUGGUAUUAAUAUUCCUAUACCCAUUUUUUUAAAAUACAAUUUUCAGACGGGAAUCAUCCCAGUUAUCCCAGUAUGUCUAAUUGUAUUUCUGGCUCUUGUAGCCUUUAAUAAAUGGAAAGCAAUAGCUCCAUUUUUAAACGGGUUGUAUCUAUUAUAAUUUUCCAAUUAAUCCCAUUGUGGUUUUUGGACCUGCUCCGUUUUAUGUGGUUGAUAAAAUGACAUCAAAAUAAAUGCUCCGUGGUAAAGCAAUUAUCUUUUGUGAAACUGAAUAGUGCAGAGGUAGUGGAUAAUCAGAGGUACUAUCAUGUGUAAUCUGUAUGCCAGGGCUCUUUGCAGUGAUUUUGCAUCAACAUAAAAAUUGUGCAGUACUACUAUCAAAUGGUCUUUACUAAUAUUCAAAAUUGGUUAUAGAAACCUUAAAAAGAUCUUAACAGACUUUAAAUAUAAUUGGAACAACACACUUUAUUCCAGUCAAUGGAAUAACUACUUGAAGCAAGAACUUUUCCUGAUUUCAUAGAUUUAAUGGCAUAUAUUAUUUGUUAGAAAGAGGCAGUUUGAUCAUGAGUGAUCUUAGAAAAGCUUUUAUCUAAAAUGAAUGGAUUUUGUUCCAUAUAACAUUUGAAUCAGUAAUAUAUAUCCGAGUAUAAAAAUAUAAAAAUAAUGGAUUUAUUGAGUCAGAAUCAUUAUUUUACCCUUUACUAAUAUUAUGGUAUUCACUUGUUUCAGAAGAGUCUAGUAAUUUACCAAGUCUCUCACUUCACUCUUAAUAUCCUUGCUUUUUAUGAUUCAGUGAAUAUAGUACUUCUUAUAUGAACUAUUACUGAUAGUUCAUAUAAGUUUUACAUAAUUCUGGCAUUAGCUAUCUUGCAUAUGGAAGUUUCCUUCCUGUGUUUUCCUUUUGACCUUUCUUUUUCCAUGAAGCAUAAAUACUAAUAUGACGUGAUGUGCCUUAAAAUAUCCUAAACAACCAGUUGAUUGGCAGAACGUCAAUGUAGUUGUCAAACACUGGUUACAAAAGGUGGAUCCUUUCAUAAUGAGAUAUUUUAAAAGAAAAUUUAGAAGAAGGAUUCUUUCCCAUAUUGAUACAAGCACAAUAGCAAAAUCUGAUUCUAUAUAGCUAUCAUCAUCAUCAUCGUGGAUAGCCAUUAUCUAUCCACUUCAGGAUGAAAGCUUCUUCCGCAUGUUUCCAACCAAUAUGGUCCUGAGCUUUCUUUUGCCAAUUGGGCCUGCAAUACUUGCUGAUGUCAUCAAUUCAUCUUGUUUUAGGUCUCUUUCGUGGAUGCUUUUUGCCAAGCGGGAUCCAUGCUAUGACUGCCUUGGUCCACCUGCCAUCAGUUCUUCUUGCUAUGUGACCAGCCCAUUUCCACUGCAAUUCUUUUACUCUCUUGAUAUUGUAUACUUUCGUUUAUUCUCUAAUCCAUCUGUGUGUCUUUAUAUCUUUUCUUGUAAUGACGAACACGUAUUUUUCCAUGGCUCUUUGUGUCACUCGUAGCUUUUGUAUCGAUUGUGAGUUAGUGCCCAUGUUUCACGGCAUAUGUUAGAGCAGGUAGCACACACUGAUUGAAAACUUUUCUCUUCACGCAUAGGGACAUUGCUCUUGAAAAUUAUGCUUAGCCUGCUGAAUGCCUGCCAAGCAUAAUUUUCAAGAACAACCUCCCUCUAUGCCUGAAGAGAAAUGUAUUCGAUCAAUGUGUGCUACCUGCUCUAAUAUAGCUAUAUUACAUUUAAAAAUCCAGUUGAGAACAACUCCAAAAUGACAAAAAACCCUGUUAUAAAUUAUUUAAAAGUUACCAUAUGUCUACCAAAUUAAACUUCAAUAUAUAAACUUGCAAUAUUUUCCAUGUGCAACAAUUAGAUUUAGACAGGCUAAGUUUUAUUAAAAUCCCCAGCUACAGUAAUCUGAUCCACAGCCAGAUAAAAGCUUUUGAAAACAUCUAUGUUAAUAUGUCUGGAAAAUUCUUACAGAACCACAAUUAGUAAAUUUAAUGUAACAAAGAAUUAAUAAAUGCAGUAUGUAAUAAAAUAUUGAUAACAGCCUAAACAUCUGGUUGACUGAGCAGUGAAUCAUCAUCAUAAUAAUCCCCCAACAAGGCACUAAACCUUGA